rnacentral:lncRNA from 1 species
GUGGUGUGCCCAAGGCCCAGGGGACCAAGGCUAAGGCCAAGGUCCAUCAUUCAUGAGGGCUUCAUGGAGACUCUAGGGCUAGUUGGGCCCUAGGUUGAAAGGCUGUGGGCCUUUCGGGUUCUUGAGGUCUAGGUUAUGUGGGCCUCAAGGGACCAACUCUUUAUGGGCCAGGUCUGGGCCCAGGAGAGAUGAGAUUAGGUUGAGUCAUGGGUGUACAUGGGCUUGGAUUAACCUA